AACUCGCCUACAUGAAGUCGGAAUUGCUAGUAAUCGCGGAUCAGCAUGCCGCGGUGAAUACGUUCCCGGGCCUUGUACACACCGCCCGUCACACCAUGGGAGUCGGUAACACCCGAAGCCUGUAGUCUAACCGCAAGGAGGACGCAGUCGAAGGUGGGAUUGAUGACUGGGGUGAAGUCGUAACAAGGUAUC
rnacentral:rRNA from 1 species